UGAUUCAGACAAGUAGCAGCAGCUCCAGGGCUUCAGAUAAUUUCUGUGUUUCAGUUCUUUUCAUUCCAUCCCUCUCAAGUAGUGCUUUGUCUCAGGGGUUGUUGUUUAAAUUCAAGCUCCAUCAUUGUGACUGCUGUACUAGGAGAAAAGUCAGAAGAGUGGAAAAUUUUGAAGAAGUAUCUCUGGCAAGAAUCUAGAAAGUUUUCUUCUAGGACUAUCAAGGACU
rnacentral:lncRNA from 1 species